AUGAUGCGCGUGCUGGCGUUCUGGACGGCGGCGUGUGUCCUCUGUGCCCGAGGGACAUGUGUCCCUCUGCUGGAUGAGAAGAGCGCUGACUGUGAUUCUGAUGAGGUUAGACCAGCGGCCGGCUGUGACCGACGCGAGACCGAUGAAGUUCUGAACGCUCAGGAGAGACACGAGGGUCUGCUGAAGGAACUACAGGAGCUGGCCAGACACGGUCAGUCAAACUCUAGAACAGAUCUAAUGCUGCACAACUCACCAAAUACGAGUCCGCUUCAGUAUCAGCUCUACACAAGACCACAGAGUCAUUACUCAGAUCAGUUCAGUUCACUCACACGUCCUGCAUCAUCUCCUUUCAGACUCAUUUUGAGCUGCUGAUCCCAAAAACAGCGUCUGGUUUGCUCUUUCACGUCACACUUUCUCACUAAAUAUGAUGCAUUUCAUAGCAUAUUUUAAUAUAUUAAUAAUUAUUUUAGCUGCGUGUUUUUAUUUUUUAUUAUCAGAAAUUACCACAAUUAAACACGAUUUAUUCUGUGGUUUCAGAAGUUUUAAUAAUGGCAUGUUCUUAAAUUAAAAACAGUUAAUUAAAGGAGUAAAAAUAAAUAUUUGUAUUUAAUUUUUUUGUCAAUAAUAUAAAAUAAAUCAAUUUAAGUUUACA
rnacentral:lncRNA from 1 species